rnacentral:rRNA from 1 species
ACGGCCCAGACUCCUACGGGAGGCAGCAGUGGGGAAUAUUGCACAAUGGGCGGAAGCCUGAUGCAGCGACGCCGCGUGGGGGAUGAAGGCCUUCGGGUUGUAAACCUCUUUCAGCACCGACGAAGUUGACGGUAGGUGCAGAAGAAGCGCCGGCUAACUACGUGCCAGCAGCCGCGGUAAUACGUAGGGCGCAAGCGUUGUCCGGAAUUAUUGGGCGUAAAGAGCUCGUAGGCGGUUUGUCGCGUCUGCCGUGAAAGCCUGGGGCUUAACCCUGGGUCUGCGGUGGAUACGGGCAGGCUAGAGGCAGGUAGGGGAGAACGGAAUUCCCGGUGUAGCGGUGAAAUGCGCAGAUAUCGGGAGGAACACCGGUGGCGAAGGCGGUUCUCUGGGCCUGUACUGACGCUGAGGAGCGAAAGCGUGGGGAGCGAACAGGAUUAGAUACCCUGGUAGUCCACGCCGUAAACGUUGGGCGCUAGGUGUGGGGUUCUUCCACGGAUUCCGCGCCGUAGCUAACGCAUUAAGCGCCCCGCCUGGGGAGUACGGCCGCAAGGCUAAAACUCAAAGGAAUUGACGGGGGCCCGCACAAGCGGCG